rnacentral:rRNA from 1 species
UACGGAAGGUCCGGGCGUUAUCCGGAUUUAUUGGGUUUAAAGGGAGCGCAGGCCGAAGAUUAAGCGUGACGUGAAAUGCCGCGGCUCAACCGUGGAAGUGCGUCGCGAACUGGUUUUCUUGAGUGUGCACGAGGAAGGCGGAAUUCGUGGUGUAGCGGUGAAAUGCUUAGAUAUCACGAAGAACUCCGAUUGCGAAGGCAGCCUUCCAGGGCAUUACUGACGCUAAAGCUCGAAGGUGCGGGUAU